GAUGAACGCUGGCGGCGUGCUUAACACAUGCAAGUCGAACGGAAAGGCCCAAGCUUGCUUGGGUACUCGAGUGGCGAACGGGUGAGUAACACGUGGGUGAUCUGCCCCGCACUUCGGGAUAAGCCUGGGAAACUGGGUCUAAUACCGGAUAGGACAGUGGUUUGGAUGCCAUUGUGGAAAGUUUUUUCGGUGUGGGAUGAGCUCGCGGCCUAUCAGCUUGUUGGUGGGGUAAUGGCCUACCAAGGCGUCGACGGGUAGCCGGCCUGAGAGGGUGUACGGCCACAUUGGGACUGAGAUACGGCCCAGACUCCUACGGGAGGCAGCAGUGGGGAAUAUUGCACAAUGGGCGCAAGCCUGAUGCAGCGACGCCGCGUGGGGGAUGACGGCCUUCGGGUUGGAAACUCCUUUCGCUAGGGACGAAGCGUUAUGUGACGGUACCUAGAGAAGAAGCACCGGCUAACUACGUG
rnacentral:rRNA from 1 species